GAUGAAGAACGCAGCGAAAUGCGAUAAGUAGUGUGAAUUGCAGAAUUCCGUGAAUCAUCGAAUCUUUGAACGCACAUUGCGCCUUCUGGUAUUCCGGAAGGCAUGCCUGUUCGAGAGUCAUUAACAACCGUUUCGAUCCCUUUCUUUCAGAAAUUACAAAGAGGAAAAGGGUUUGGUUAUGGUGGAGGAGGGAAAGGGAGCGUUUAGCCUGUAAAAAAAGAGGCUGUGUUCCGCCUCCCCCCCAAAAUUGUACAGGCGGUCGUGUGCGCCCACGCAUCGAGGUGUUGUAAAAGCUGCCACGGCACUUUUCACCUGUGCAGUGCGAGAUUGGCCAGCCGGUUUAAAAACCCCUCCAAACAAUCAAAGGUUGACCUCGGAUCAGGUAGGGAUACCCGCUGAACUUAAGCAUAUCAAAAGCGGAGGA
rnacentral:misc_RNA from 1 species